rnacentral:rRNA from 1 species
UACGUAGGCAGCAAGCGUUGUUCGGAGUUAUUGGGCGUAAAGAGUGCGUAGGUGGUGCCCUAAGUCUGUUGUGAAAUCUCCCGGCUUAACUGGGAGGGUGCGGUGGAAACUGGGGUGCUUGAGUGUGGGAGAGGUAAGCGGAAUUCCUGGUGUAGCGGUGAAAUGCGUAGAUAUCAGGAGGAACACCGGUGGUGUAGACGGCUUACUGGACCACGACUGACACUGAGGCACGAAAGCGUGGGUAGCAAACAGG